UACAGAGAGUGCAAACGUUGUUCGGAAUUACUGGGCUUGAAGCGCACGUAGGCGGCGUUGUAAGUGUCGGGUGAAAUCCCACGGCUCACCCGUGGAACUGCCCGGCAUACUGCGAUGCUAGAGUGUGGUAGGGGAGAGCGGAACUCCUGGUGGAGCGGUGAAAUGCGUAGAUAUCAGGAGGAACACCGGUGGCGAAGGCGGCUCUCUGGUCCACAACUGACGCUGAGGUGCGAAAGCUAGGGGAGCAAGCGGG
rnacentral:rRNA from 1 species